AGUGAACGCUGGCGGUAGGCCUAACACAUGCAAGUCGAACGGCAGCACAGUAAGAGCUUGCUCUUACGGGUGGCGAGUGGCGGACGGGUGAGGAAUACAUCGGAAUCUACUUUUUCGUGGGGGAUAACGUAGGGAAACUUACGCUAAUACCGCAUACGACCUACGGGUGGAAGCAGGGGAUCUUCGGACCUUGCGCGAUUGAAUGAGCCGAUGUCGGAUUAGCUAGUUGGCGGGGUAAAGGCCCACCAAGGCGACGAUCCGUAGCUGGUCUGAGAGGAUGAACCGCCACACUGGAACUGAGCCACGGUCCAGACUCCUACGGGAGGCAGCAGUGGGGAAUAUUGGACAAUGGGCGCAAGCCUGAUCCAGCCAUACCGCGUGGGUGAAGAAGGCCUUCGGGUUGUAAAGCCCUUUUGUUGGGAAAGAAAAGCAGCAGGUUAAUACCCCGCUGUUCUGACGGUACCCAAAUAAUAAGCACCGGCUAACUUCGUG
rnacentral:rRNA from 1 species